GACGAACGCUGGCGGCGUGCCUAAUACAUGCAAGUCGAACGGAGUGGCGCACGGGUGCGUAAUGUAUAGCUAAUCUCCCCUACAAUAGAGGACAACAGUUGGAAACGGCUGCUAAUACUCUAUAGUGUAGGAUGAGGCUAUAUUGUAUCAGCUAGUUGGUGAGGUAAUGGCUCACCAAGGCUAUGACGAAUAACUGGUCUGAGAGGAUGAUCAGUCACACUGGAAAUGAGACACGGUCCAGACUCCUACGGGAGGCAGCAGUAGGGAAUAGUGCUCAACGGGGGAAACCCUGAAGCAGCAACGCCGCGUGGAGGACGACACUUUUCGGAGCGUAAACUCCGUUUGUUAGGGAAGCGGUACCUAACGAAUAAGCACCGGCUAACUCCGUGCCAGCAGCCGCGGUAAUAC
rnacentral:rRNA from 1 species